ACAAGCUCAACCUAUCAAAUACUUUUGCUUUUCUAUCAAACAGCUUCCUUAAAGACAACAGCAGCAGCAUCACAUUCAGUCUGUGGAGAGGACGCUGAAGACGAUCCAGACGGUGUGACGUAUGCAGUCGUCGUCACAAAACUGAAACAGGACAAAGACACUGGAGACGCUGCUGAUAAUUUGAACAUCUGCCUCGAGUCAAACCACAGCACCAAACCACAGAGUGAAAGAGAAGAAGACGAAUCCUCUUUACAACUGGUUUACUCUGCUGUGACCAUACGUAAAACUCCACAAGCUCUCCAACGGGAAUCCAGCUCCACAGCAGCCAAAGUCUAACAGAGCAGGAACGUCUCUACUCACCUGUCCUGAAGGCCACAAACAGCAGAGACGCCUGACUGAAGAAGGGAGGAGAGCCUGCGUGCUAAUGUGUGCAAGAGAAGAAAUCCUGUUGUGUUUUACAGCUUUGUGUUGAACUUAUUUGUGUCUUUCUGAAGUCAUUUAUUCCAUUUAAGUACAGUAUGUAUUCAUAUAAUUUCACUUUCACUGAAAAUGGCAAAUAAAAAAACAUGUUAUCCAAUAUUAUCCUGUAGCUAUACGUCAAACCUUUCGUAUUUCAAAAUGUUUCAUUUGUAUAUACUGUAUAUGUAAUAUAAGAAGUGUAUAAAUAUACUAAUGAAAUAGCUAUGUACUUGUGCACUUUGUGAAGCUUUAAACCCAGAAUAAAAGAUGGCAAAGUUUGUACAUUAGAUUGGACAUAUAGUUAAGGGUAGUACAUUUUCACAGUUUCAACUUUUGUUUUACUAUUUUCACAAAUAGAAGAAGUUCAGCUGGAUGAUCUGGUCAGUCAGACAGUUUUAUGUGACUCACAGUUAAAGUGUCUAUUUUUAUUAUAAUGUGACAGUUAAACCACAUUGAUCUCUCUGCUGUGUUCACAUGUCUGGAGACGCUGUUUAUUAAAAAAAAAGAACUGCUGCUGUUUCUAAAACUCUCACUGUGGUCAACCACCAACGUGAUGCUUUUGCAGCAGUUUGACCUUAUAAAUAAUAUCUAUCUGUAUUUCUAUAUAGAUUAUCUUUUUUUCCCUAGAGUGGUGUUAACAGCUCCACACCCCGAGGUGGAGCUUGUCUUAAUACUUUCUAAAUAAGAUGAACAUAAAUGUGAAGUGACUAGGAAGAUACAAAAAAAUGUAUCUGCUCUAUUUUACUCCAUUGUUUGAAGUUUGUCUUGCAAAUAUAUUAAGUGUUGC